rnacentral:rRNA from 1 species
GAUGAACGCUGGCGGCGUGCUUAACACAUGCAAGUCGAACGGAAAGGCUCCUGCUUGCAGGGGUACUCGAGUGGCGAACGGGUGAGUAACAAGUGGGUGAUCUGCCCUGCACUUCGGGAUAAGCCUGGGAAACUGGGUCUAAUACCGGAUAGGACGAUGGUUUGGAUGCCAUUGUGGAAAGUUUUUCGGUGUGGGAUGAGCUCGCGGCCUAUCAGCUUGUUGGUGGGGUAAUGGCCUACCAAGGCGUCGACGGGUAGCCGGACUGAGAGGGUGUACGGCCACAUUGGGCCUGAGAUACGGCCCAGACUCCUACGGGAGGCAGCAGUGGGGAAUAUUGCACAAUGGGCGCAAGCCUGAUGCAGCGACGCCGCGUGGGGGAUGACGGCCUUCGGGUUGUAAACUCCUUUCGCUAGGGACGAAGCGCAAGUGACGGUACCUAGAGAAGAAGCACCGGCUAACUACGUG